rnacentral:rRNA from 1 species
AGUGAGGCCUUUGGGUCCACCUCCCACCCGUGUUUAUUUUACCUUGUUGCUUCGGCGGGCCCGCCUUUACUGGCCGCCGGGGGGCUCACGCCCCCGGGCCCGCGCCCGCCGAAGACACCCCCGAACUCUGUCUGAAGAUUGAAGUCUGAGUGAAAAUAUAAAUUAUUUAAAACUUUCAACAACGGAUCUCUUGGUUCCGGCAUCGAUGAAGAACGCAGCGAAAUGCGAUACGUAAUGUGAAUUGCAAAUUCAGUGAAUCAUCGAGUCUUUGAACGCACAUUGCGCCCCCUGGUAUUCCGGGGGGCAUGCCUGUCCGAGCGUCAUUGCUGCCCUCAAGCCCGGCUUGUGUGUUGGGCCCCGUCCUCCGAUUCCGGGGGACGGGCCCGAAAGGCAGCGGCGGCACCGCGUCCGGUCCUCGAGCGUAUGGGGCUUUGUCACCCGCUCUGUAGGCCCGGCCGGCGCUUGCCGAUCAACCCAAAUUUUUAUCCAGGUUGACCUCGGAUCAGGUAGGGAUACCCGCUGAACUUAAGCAUAUCAAAAGCGAG